rnacentral:rRNA from 1 species
CUACGGGCUGCAGCAGUGGGGAAUCUUAGACAAUGGGCGCAAGCCUGAUCUAGCCAUGCCGCGUGAGUGACGAAGGCCUUAGGGUCGUAAAGCUCUUUCGCUGGGGAAGAUAAUGACGGUACCCAGUAAAGAAACCCCGGCUAACUCCGUGCCAGCAGCCGCGGUAAUACGGAGGGGGUUAGCGUUGUUCGGAAUUACUGGGCGUAAAGCGCGCGUAGGCGGAUCAGAAAGUUGGGGGUGAAAUCCCGGGGCUCAACCCCGGAACUGCCUUCAAAACUCCUGGUCUUGAGUUCGAGAGAGGUGAGUGGAAUUCCGAGUGUAGAGGUGAAAUUCGUAGAUAUUCGGAGGAACACCAGUGGCGAAGGCGGCUCACUGGCUCGAUACUGACGCUGAGGUGCGAAAGCGUGGGGAGCAAACAGGAUUAGAUACCCUCGUAGUC